rnacentral:misc_RNA from 1 species
AGACAGCAUAUAUGCUGUCUUU